rnacentral:rRNA from 1 species
AUUGAACGCUGGCGGAAUGCUUUACACAUGCAAGUCGAACGGCAGCACGGACUUCGGUCUGGUGGCGAGUGGCGAACGGGUGAGUAAUACAUCGGAACGUGCCCAGUCGUGGUGGAUAACGUAGCGAAAGCUACGCUAAUACCGCAUACGAUCUAAGGAUGAAAGCGGGGGAUCGCAAGACCUCGCGCGAUUGGAGCGGCGGAUGGCAGAUUAGGUAGUUGGUAGGGUAAAGGCCUACCAAGCCGACGAUCUGUAGCUGGUCUGAGAGGAUGAUCAGCCACACUGGGACUGAGACACGGCCCAGACUCCUACGGGAGGCAGCAGUGGGGAAUUUUGGACAAUGGGCGCAAGCCUGAUCCAGCCAUUCCGCGUGCAGGAUGAAGGCCUUCGGGUUGUAAACUGCUUUUGUACAGAACGAAAAGGCUCUGGUUAAUACCCGGGGCUCAUGACGGUACUGUAAGAAUAAGCACCGGCUAACUACGUGCCAGCCGCCGCGGUAACAC